AUGUCUCUUAGCAUCCUGGGUUCUAGAAGCCAGAUCCAUCUUCCUUUCCCUUCACAUCCACUUCCACGCCCAGACCCAUCCCCGUCUGCCUUCCUCUGCAACCCUCUGGGCAGUGACGUCAUUUCUCACGUGCUUUUUCUUUCCUCGUCGGGAAGAACAGAAGAAGAUCAUGAUCAUGAUCUGCUGUGUUAUCCUUGCGAUCAUCUUAGCUUCUACUAUUGGGGGCAUAUUUGCCUGAAAAGAACCAAAAAGCCCUCACAGAUGGACCCUCACCUGCUUUCUCAGUCCUUCUUCCACCUCUGUGGGGCCGCUGCAGACUCCUCCCGAGUUCUUUCCAUUGUGAAACCUCGUAUGACACAGCACCUCAACCAUCUCCCCAUUCAAACUGACGCAAAGGGAGACUUAGGAGAAUAUGGCCUUGGGCGGCAGGCAGGGCGACUGGGCAGGGAGUACGGCACUUUGCGGUGGGUUAGGAAGGCGGUUCGAGGAGGAGAACGCAUAGGAAGGAGACCGGUUAGGAAAUGGACUCGGAGCUGGAGCCCCCUGACGUCAGCUGUUGGGGGCAGGGCUUCACCGCGGGGGGUCACUAGAUCUGGGCGCUGCUGCUUCUGCACUUCCCGUUCCGGGUCCCACCUUUGACCCACCCUGCGUCCCCGUCCUUCUUCAGAGCCUCCGUCCCUGAGGCUAUUGUCCAGUGAUAGGCCCUGAGCAUGGCUCCUCACUGCUGUGUCCACAGUGCUUAGCACAGCGCCUGCCACUUACAGCUGCUGUCUGUCCACUUUACUAUGCUGAUUUCUGCUAUGGAUGAAUCCUUGGAUUUGAUUCUUCAACACUUUAAGGCAUCAGUGGGAAAUGAUCUAUAUCACAAGUCUACAAAAAUGCCCCAGAGUGGGUUGAUCCACUUACACAAAAGUAUAGGAGCGCCCCCUCACCCCCCAUUUCUACAACAUACACCUUAAAGUCCUUUAUCUACGGGAGGUGGGGAUAGGAGAGUUGUCAAUAGGCUGUUACUUUGCGGAGAUGGCUGGCCCCAGGAUUGUGGUUCUGUAAUUAAAUGUGGACCCUGAAAGAAACAGGUUUAUGCUGUGACUGAAUGCCCCACAGUCAUCACCACCACUGCUCCGUGAGCCCUAACAAAGAGAUGACGAUGUUAGGUCAGAAGGCCAAAUGAACCCGUCGCUAUUCCUUCUGAUUCAUGCUGCCAGCUGACACGGGCAGCACUGGCCAGCAACGUGUGUACAACAAACGGGUCCAAACACUGUCCUCUGUUCACGGUUCAGGUGUGUUCCUGUGCAGCUCAGUGAUUAGUUACUGUACAAGAGAUUCACUAAAAAUACAUUAAAAAUCACAGUAGGCGAUUCUUGAGGACCACUCAACUGCUUAGACGAGUCUGUACUUUGGAAAGUAAAUUAUUCUGCCAUCAAGUCUAACUUUUUAAGAAAGUGGGGUGAAAAAAUGGACACUUUAGUCACUGUGCUGUUUUCUGCCCACUUUCAAAGCAAACGGUUUAAUAUCUCUAUCAAUCUGUAUCUCCUUUGGUUUGCAUACAGGAUAACCACCACUGCUAGCUAGCUCUGAAAAACAGAUGAACUUUGUUCAAGGCAAACACGGAGCUGGGCCCAUGGGCCUUUGAAUGACCCAGGCCCUCGCUCAUUCAGCAGUAGGGAUCUACCGGGCGGCCCCUGCACUGUGCUAGGACCUGUAGGGACACAGACGCAGAGCCAAACACCCUCCAUCCGCAGAGGGUUUCCCGCCUAGCAAAGACCACAGCGUUCAGCUUUUCUAUCAGUUCCUUUCGCUAAAAGGCAAGGGCAUGUCUCUUGCCACAUUGUCCAACAUCCCCCCUUCCGUGACUGAGAAGAUGGGUAGCUGGGCAUAAAUAAAUGUUGUCAAUUACUCUGUGCA
ensembl:lncRNA